GUGAGGAAUAUUGGUCAAUGGGCGAGAGCCUGAACCAGCCAAGUCGCGUGAAGGAAGAAGGAUCUAUGGUUCGUAAACUUCUUUUGCAGGGGAAUAAAGUGCAGGACGUGUCCUGUUUUGUAUGUACCCUGAGAAUAAGGAUCGGCUAACUCCGUGCCAGCAGCCGCGGUAAUACGGGGGAUCCGAGCGUUAUCCGGAUUUAUUGGGUUGAAAGGGUGCGUAGGUGGUUUGAUAAGUCAGCGGUGCAAGUUUGCAGCUUAACUGUAAAAAUGCCGUUGAAACUGUCGGACUUGAGUGUAAAUGAGGUAGGCGGAAUGCGUUGUAUAGCGGUGAAAUGCAUAGAUAUCACGCAGAACUCCGAUUGCGAAGGCAGCUUACUAAGCUACAACUGACACUGAAGCACGAAAGCGUGGGGAUCAAACAGGAUUAGAAACCCCGGUAGUCC
rnacentral:rRNA from 1 species